UCGCCUCAUCGUGGACGUGGAAAAACACAAAGUUCUUUAUGAACUGCAGAAUUUCUUGUACAAAGAUUUGAGUGCACAAGAAAAGGCAUGGGAGGCAGUUUCCUCGGCUGUUGGUGUGGAAGCACUUCCUGAAAAAGCCUGGAAAAAAAAGCCACAGUAUAAACCGUCUUUCUAAAUCCAGACACGCUCAAGACAGGACCUUAGCUCGGGUAGCUACACCGGUGAUCUGGAAAAGGCCUGACCAUGAUGCUUAGCCUGUUCAUAGACACUCCUCUGUACUGAGAACAUGCUUCAGAAAAAAUAUAUAAAACGUACAGUGCACAUGAAUGAAGUAUAUGGGCUGCGAGAUACAGGAGGACAAUAAUAAUAAUAAUAAAAGAGUUGCAAGGAUACUGGAGAACUGGUGCUCUCUGCUCC